UGGGGAAUUUUGGACAAUGGGCGCAAGCCUGAUCCAGCAAUGCCGCGUGCAGGAUGAAGGCCUUCGGGUUGUAAACUGCUUUUGUACGGAGCGAAAAGGUUUUAACUAAUACUUAAAGCUAAUGACGGUACCGUAAGAAUAAGCACCGGCUAACUACGUGCCAGCAGCCGCGGUAAUACGUAGGGUGCAAGCGUUAAUCGGAAUUACUGGGCGUAAAGCGUGCGCAGGCGGUUUUGUAAGACAGAUGUGAAAUCCCCGGGCUCAACCUGGGACCUGCAUUUGUGACUGCAAAGCUAGAGUACGGCAGAGGGGGAUGGAAUUCCGCGUGUAGCAGUGAAAUGCGUAGAUAUGCGGAGGAACACCGAUGGCGAAGGCAAUCCCCUGGGCCUGUACUGACGCUCAUGCACGAAAGCGUGGGGAGCAAACAGG
rnacentral:rRNA from 1 species